rnacentral:rRNA from 1 species
UUGAACGCUGGCGGCAGGCCUAACACAUGCAAGUCGAACGGUAACAGGAAGAAGCUUGCUUCUUUGCUGACGAGUGGCGGACGGGUGAGUAAUGUCUGGGAAACUGCCUGAUGGAGGGGGAUAACUACUGGAAACGGUAGCUAAUACCGCAUAACGUCGCAAGACCAAAGAGGGGGACCUUCGGGCCUCUUGCCAUCGGAUGUGCCCAGAUGGGAUUAGCUAGUAGGUGGGGUAACGGCUCACCUAGGCGACGAUCCCUAGCUGGUCUGAGAGGAUGACCAGCCACACUGGAACUGAGACACGGUCCAGACUCCUACGGGAGGCAGCAGUGGGGAAUAUUGCACAAUGGGCGCAAGCCUGAUGCAGCCAUGCCGCGUGUAUGAAGAAGGCCUUCGGGUUGUAAAGUACUUUCAGCGGGGAGGAAGGGAGUAAAGUUAAUACCUUUGCUCAUUGACGUUACCCGCAGAAGAAGCACCGGCUGACUCCGUGCCAGCAGCCGCGGUAAUACGGAGGGUGCAAGCGUUAAUCGGAAUUACUGGGCGUAAAGCGCACGCAGGCGGUUUGUUAAGUCAGAUGUGAAAUCCCCGGGCUCAACCUGGGAACUGCAUCUGAUACUGGCAAGCUUGAGUCUCGUAGAGGGGGGUAGAAUUCCAGGUGUAGCGGUGAAAUGCGUAGAGAUCUGGAGGAAUACCGGUGGCGAAGGCGGCCCCCUGGACGAAGACUGACGCUCAGGUGCGAAAGCGUGGGGAGCAAACAGGAUUAGAUACCCUGGUAGUCCACGCCGUAAACGAUGUCGACUUGGAGGUUGUGCCCUUGAGGCGUGGCUUCCGGAGCUAACGCGUUAAGUCGACCGCCUGGGGAGUACGGCCGCAAGGUUAAAACUCAAAUGAAUUGACGGGGGCCCGCACAAGCGGUGGAGCAUGUGGUUUAAUUCGAUGCAACGCGAAGAACCUUACCUGGUCUUGACAUCCACGGAAGUUUUCAGAGAUGAGAAUGUGCCUUCGGGAACCGUGAGACAGGUGCUGCAUGGCUGUCGUCAGCUCGUGUUGUGAAAUGUUGGGUUAAGUCCCGCAACGAGCGCAACCCUUAUCCUUUGUUGCCAGCGGUCCGGCCGGGAACUCAAAGGAGACUGCCAGUGAUAAACUGGAGGAAGGUGAGGAUGACGUCAAGUCAUCAUGGCCCUUACGACCAGGGCUACACACGUGCUACAAUGGCGCAUACAAAGAGAAGCGACCUCGCGAGAGCAAGCGGACCUCAUAAAGUGCGUCGUAGUCCGGAUUGGAGUCUGCAACUCGACUCCAUGAAGUCGGAAUCGCUAGUAAUCGUGGAUCAGAAUGCCACGGUGAAUACGUUCCCGGGCCUUGUACACACCGCCCGUCACACCAUGGGAGUGGGUUGCAAAAGAAGUAGGUAGCUUAACCUUCGGGAGGGCGCUUACCACUUUGUGAUUCAUGACUGGGGUG